rnacentral:rRNA from 1 species
GACAGAGGUCUCAAACGUUGUUCGGAAUUACUGGGCAUAAAGCGCACGUAGGCGGUCCGCUAAGUUCUGUGUGAAAUACCCCGGCUCAACCGGGGAACUGCGCAGGAUACUGGCGGGCUUGAGGUCGGUAGGGGUGAGUGGAACUCCAGGUGGAGCGGUGAAAUGCGUAGAUAUCUGGAGGAACACCGGUGGCGAAAGCGGCUCACUGGACCGAAACUGACGCUGAGGUGCGAAAGCUAGGGUAGCAAACGGG